rnacentral:rRNA from 1 species
UACGAAGGGGGCGAGCGGUGUUCGGAAUUACUGGGCGUAAUGGGCGCGUAGGCGGCUUCAGAAGUCAGGUGUGAAAGCCUUGGGCUUAACCCAAGAAUUGCACUUGAUACUCUGUGGCUAGAAUGCAGGAGAGGUUGGUGGAAUUCCCAGUGUAGAGGUGAAAUUCGUAGAGAUUGGGAAGAACACCAGUGGCGAAGGCGGCCAACUGGCCUGUGAUUGACGCUGAGGCGCGAAAGCGUGGGGAGCAAACAGG